CUCAUUUUUCUACUGCUCGUGGAUUUACGCGCACGUUGGAACCGAAGAGAGCUCUGUUGUUGCAAUGUUCAGCCCACAAGAGCUUACUGGUGAAGGAAUGGGACAAGACCCAUCUUUAUGCAAAGCCAGCGUUACAGUAAUGUUCCAGGUAUUCCUGAUGACAGUCUGCCUCUAUCUUACAGAGCAGCUUGUUGCUAUAUACCAUUGAAAAGCCUUCAGAGCUGAGAGGUACUACUAACCAAUAACCUGCUUGGCUCAAAGGGCCAGCACCUUCUCUCUAAAGCCCAAGAGGAGUUUGAGGAAAACUAGGUGUCUGUGUUCACUCCAGGCUGAAGUUACAGGUCUGAGCAAAUAAGGUGUAUAAAAAAUGGAAUCUGUCUUGGAGGACAUCAGAAGGUGAAUUUUCCAAGUUCUUGGACAACCUAGCUGUUGAAAAGCUUUCUGGGUUUGGGGGGUAUUUCAGAUGUACCUUAAAGUGUUAGCAGACACAGAUUAAGACACUGGGAGCCAAUGAAACAGCAGUUGAGGGUUUGCUGUGUAUCACAUUUCUGUAUUUUAUCACCCCCUUCCUGCAACAUUAUUUAUCUGGAAUCUACCUGCCCUUUUGUUUUUUAGAUACAAGGGCUUGGUUUUGUUACCCAGGCUGGUUUCAAGGCCAUAGCUUUAAGAGAUCCUCUCACCACAGAUUUCCAAAGUGCUGGGAUUGCAGGUGUGAUUCAUGGCACCCAGACUUUGCUGCCUUUCUUACAUGAUCCAGGCCCAGAACCCAAACUCAGGCACUGUAUAGAUGACCACUUUCGUAAACUACUGACCUAGCUUGUUGCCAAUUGUUGAUUGAACUUCCCAUAACUCCACUUCGUGUCUGUUCCUCUGUAUACAGCCACCUUCUGUUCCCGUCAUGAGCCUUUAGGUCUCCAUUUGCAUAUUGCAAAUACUAUGUUCCAUGUAGGUAGCUCAUUCAGGGCCUUGCUCUUCACUUCAAAAAAGGUUCCCUUGAGGACUGGCUGUCAAUUUGUGUUGCUGUGUUGGUUGUUGAUGAAAAUAAUAAAAUGAUUGAUUACAUAGU
rnacentral:lncRNA from 10 species